UACGGAGGGGGUUAGCGUUGUUCGGAAUGACUGGGCGUAAAGCGCGCGUAGGCGGAUCAGGAAGUUGGGGGUGAAAUCCCGGGGCUCAACCCCGGAAUGGCCUUCAAAACUCCUGGUCUUGAGUUCGAGAGAAGUGAGUGGAAUUCCGAGUGUAGAGGUGAAAUUCGUAGAUAUUCGGAGGAACACCAGUGGCGAAGGUGGCUCACUGGCUCGACACUGACGCUGAGGUGCGAAAGCGUGGGGAGCAAACAGG
rnacentral:rRNA from 1 species